GAACGCUGGCGGCGUGCCUAAUACAUGCAAGUCGAGCGAACAGAUAAGGAGCUUGCUCCUUUGACGUUAGCGGCGGACGGGUGAGUAACACGUGGAUAACCUACCUAUAAGACUGGGAUAACUUCGGGAAACCGGAGCUAAUACCGGAUAACAUAUUGAACCGCAUGGUUCAAUAGUGAAAGGCGGCUUUGCUGUCACUUAUAGAUGGAUCCGCGCCGUAUUAGCUAGUUGGUAAGGUAACGGCUUACCAAGGCAACGAUACGUAGCCGACCUGAGAGGGUGAUCGGCCACACUGGAACUGAGACACGGUCCAGACUCCUACGGGAGGCAGCAGUAGGGAAUCUUCCGCAAUGGGCGAAAGCCUGACGGAGCAACGCCGCGUGAGUGAUGAAGGUCUUCGGAUCGUAAAACUCUGUUAUCAGGGAAGAACAAAUGUGUAAGUAACUGUGCACAUCUUGACGGUACCUGAUCAGAAAGCCACGGCUAACUACGUGCCAGCAGCCGCGGUAAUACGUAGGUGGCAAGCGUUAUCCGGAAUUAUUGGGCGUAAAGCGCGCGUAGGCGGUUUUUUAAGUCUGAUGUGAAAGCCCACGGCUCAACCGUGGAGGGUCAUUGGAAACUGGAAAACUUGAGUGCAGAAGAGGAAAGUGGAAUUCCAUGUGUAGCGGUGAAAUGCGCAGAGAUAUGGAGGAACACCAGUGGCGAAGGCGACUUUCUGGUCUGUAACUGACGCUGAUGUGCGAAAGCGUGGGGAUCAAACAGGAUUAGAUACCCUGGUAGUCCACGCCGUAAACGAUGAGUGCUAAGUGUUAGGGGGUUUCCGCCCCUUAGUGCUGCAGCUAACGCAUUAAGCACUCCGCCUGGGGAGUACGACCGCAAGGUUGAAACUCAAAGGAAUUGACGGGGACCCGCACAAGCGGUGGAGCAUGUGG
rnacentral:rRNA from 1 species